GGAAGUAAAAGUCAUAACAAGGUUUCCGUAGGUGAACCUGCGGAAGGAUCAUUAUUGUAUAACCGAGGUGCGAGGGCUGUCGCUGACCCGAAAGGUCGUGCACGCCCGAGUGCCCUCACACACAUCCAUCUCACCCCUAUGUGCACCACCGCGUGGGUCCCCCUUUGGCUUGUUCGGAGGGGGGCUUACGUUUUCACACAAACUUUGUAUGCAGUGUAGAAUGUAUUUUUUGUUUUUGCGAUCACGCAAUCAAUAUAACUUUCAACAACGGAUCUCUUGGCUCUC
rnacentral:misc_RNA from 1 species